UACGUAGGGCGCAAGCGUUAUCCGGAAUUAUUGGGCGUAAAGAGCUCGUAGGCGGUUUGUCGCGUCUGCCGUGAAAGUCCGGGGCUCAACUCCGGAUCUGCGGUGGGUACGGGCAGACUAGAGUGAUGUAGGGGAGACUGGAAUUCCUGGUGUAGCGGUAAAAUGCGCAGAUAUCAGGAGGAACACCGAUGGCGAAGGCAGGUCUCUGGGCAUUAACUGACGCUGAGGAGCGAAAGCAUGGGGAGCGAACAGG
rnacentral:rRNA from 1 species